rnacentral:rRNA from 1 species
AUUGAACGCUGGCGGCAGGCCUAACACAUGCAAGUCGAGCGAGCGGCGGACGGGUGAGUAAUGUCUGGGAACCUGCCUGCUGGAUGGGGAUCACUACUGGAAACGGUCGCUAAUACCGCAUACAAUCCGCUUUGCCCAGAUGGGAUUAGCUGGUCGGUGGGGUAACGGCCAACCUAGGCGACGAUCCCUAGCUGGUCUGAGAGGAUGACCAGCCACACUGGAACUGAGACACGGUCCAGACUCCUACGGGAGGCAGCAGUGGGGAAUAUUGCACAAUGGGCGCAAGCCUGAUGCAGCCAUGCCGCGUGUGUGAAGAAGGCCUUCGGGUUGUAAAGCACUUUCAGCGGGGAGGCGUUACCCGCAGAAGAAGCACCGGCUAACUCCGUGCCAGCAGCCGCGGUAAUUC